rnacentral:lncRNA from 1 species
CAUCUACCGGGGCAUCUGCACCCAGGCCCCCGUGCUGUGUGGGGUGACUUCAGUCCCACGGGCCAAGAGGUGAGGCAUACCGCCUGCUCCACAGCCCCGGCUCCAAGCUGAGCUUCAGGGGGCUGAAGACCUGUGUCGCCACCCUCUGGCUGGGCCUCGUGUCCCUCCCGAGCAUGGGUCCCAGGGCCAGCCCCCCAUGGGGUGACGCGCAGAGCAGAAGUGCCCUCCUGCCAAGCCCGGCGGCGGACCUGGAGGCCUGCAGGGCUGUGGCCCGCAGCUCAGCGCCAACGUGCAGGAAGUAGGGGCUGAGGAAGAUGCGUCGCUGCAGCAGCAGAAAGAAGAAGCAGGCGCUGUCCCAGAUGAUGCCGGCCUCCUCCACAGGCAGCCGGCAGUCCUGGUCCUUGGUCACCAUCGCCUUGGCUGUGGGACAGGACCCCCGGGGUCAGAGCCAGAGCGGGGCCGUCCCUGUGCACCCGGCCACCAGCCUCGCCCACUCACGAUCAUAGUAACCCUUGACUGUGCACACGAGGCUGAAGAGCUGGAUGACCCAGCAGAAGCUGGUCUGCAUUUGCUCCACAAAGACACAGGACAGGAGCUGGGGGAGGAUGAGGGUCAGGGGGCCGCCAGGGCGGGUGGCGGGCGGUGGGCGGCGGAGAGGCCAGGCUGUCUCACCGAGAGCAUGUUCUUGGAGACGAUAACUGUGACAUUGUAGAGGAUGAGGCAGUCCCACAGCACAAGGCGGGCCCGCGUGUCCUUCUGCAGCAGCGCUGCAUGCCAAGAGCAGCAGGUAGAAGCAGGCCAACAGAUAGCCCAGCCCGAAGACACUGAUGCGGGUGGCACCGGUGACGAACACCACCACCAGCACCAGCCAGAACAGGUAGCGGAACACAGCCACCUUCAGCAUAUCCAGUGAGAGAAAAGUAAGACACUAGCCAUGAAAAGACACUGACCUCAGUGGGACCAGGGACACCACGCCUGCAGUGAUGCCCAAGACCAUGGCCUAGCACACAGGACACACGGACACCCCCACACCGAGGGACCCGCUAAGGGACAAGGGCCCAGCUCUGCUCAAGGAGCAGAAGACAAGAGAAGACAACACGGCCCAGUGGUGAGGGGCCAACACGACCAGGGUGGAACUCGGUGGUGCGGAUGGAGGCGGCACAGGCCGGACAGGCAGUGAGCUCCGCGGGCCAGUGGUGUCACAACACCACUGCCUUCUUAAUCUGGACAUCGCUCUUGGGGUCUGUGACAGGCUGGCACCAAGGAAAAUGGGAAUGAGGUGCUGCAGAACUCUAUCACCUUUGCAGCUCUUUGGUAUGUGUGCACAGAAAGUUAAACACCACAGCGAAAGGGGUGAUGCUGCGUGAAAGGGGUGAAUCUGGAAAGAUGGCAGUGGUGUGCUACCAAACCCUCUCCAGAGACGUCCUGGGCAGCACAGCGUGGCCGCGUCUGUGGCUGGGCCUUGACCUUGAUCUGCCACCGCCGACCCUGCAAAUCCAUCCCCUGGGCACGUAGACCCCACUGAGGGCAC